rnacentral:rRNA from 1 species
AGUGAACGCUGGCGGUAGGCCUAACACAUGCAAGUCGAACGGCAGCACAGUAAGAGCUUGCUCUUACGGGUGGCGAGUGGCGGACGGGUGAGGAAUACAUCGGAAUCUACUUUUUCGUGGGGGAUAACGUAGGGAAACUUACGCUAAUACCGCAUACGACCUACGGGUGAAAGCAGGGGAUCUUCUGACCUUGCGCGAUUGAAUGAGCCGAUGUCGGAUUAGCUAGUUGGCGGGGUAAAGGCCCACCAAGGCGACGAUCCGUAGCUGGUCUGAGAGGAUGAUCAGCCACACUGGAACUGAGACACGGUCCAGACUCCUACGGGAGGCAGCAGUGGGGAAUAUUGGACAAUGGGCGCAAGCCUGAUCCAGCCAUACCGCGUGGGUGAAGAAGGCCUUCGGGUUGUAAAGCCCUUUUGUUGGGAAAGAAAAGCAGCAGGUUAAUACCCCGCUGUUCUGACGGUACCCAAAGAAUAAGCACCGGCUAACUUCGU